GUGUCAGCAGCCGCGGUAAGACAGAGGGUGCAAACGUUGCUCGGAAUUACUGGGCGUAAAGCGCGUGUAGGCGGGCUUGCAAGUCAGAUGUGAAAUCCCCGGGCUCAACCCGGGAACUGCAUUUGAAACUGCAAGCCUUGAGUAUCGGAGAGGAAAGCGGAAUUCCUGGUGUAGAGGUGAAAUUCGUAGAUAUCAGGAGGAACACCGGUGGCGAAGGCGGCUUUCUGGACGAUAACUGACGCUGAGACGCGAAAGCGUGGGGAGCAAACAGGAUUAGAAACCCCCGUAGUCC
rnacentral:rRNA from 1 species